CAAUUAAAGUCAAAGGUGAAGUCCGACUCCCGUAGGAGUCCGGACAGGGCUUACCAGUAGUUGAUGUUGAGGAUGGAGCCCGGCUCCCGUAGGAGUCCGGGCGGAGUCUACUUGCGGUUGAAGUUGUCGGCGAAGUCCGGCUCCCGUAGGAGUCCAGACGAAGUCUGUCUGCAGCCGUUGGAGUGGAGGGUGAAGCCCGGCUCUCAUAGGAGUCCGGGCGGAGCCUUCCUGCAAUUAAAGUCAAAGGUGAAGUCCGGCUCCCGUAGGAGUCCGGACAGGGCUUACCAGCAGUUGAUGUUGAGGACGGAGCCCGGCUCCCGUAGGAGUCCGGGCGGAGUCUACUUGCGGUUGAAGUUGUCGGCGGAGUCCGGCUCCCGUAGGAGUCCGGACGAAGUCUGUCUGCAGCCAUUGGAGUCAAGGGCGAAGCCCGGCUCCCGUAGGAGUCCGGGCAGAGCCUUCCUGCAAUUAAAGUCAAAGGCGAAGUCCGGCUCCCGUAGGAGUCCGGACAGGGCUUACCAGCAGUUGAUGUUGAGGACGGAGCCCGGCUCCCGUA
rnacentral:lncRNA from 1 species